CCUUAUUACCACUAACCGAGCUGCCUUCAUUUUUUUCCACUUAAAGAAAUCAAGAAUUCGACAAGCUCAUCAAAGUGAAUCCUGAAACUCUCACCAACAAUCAGAGAAACCAGGAUCUCAAUACCCUCAUCAGAGUGAACCCCUCAGCGGUCCGAAGCGGUCAGAGCCAAGACUUGGACAAUCUUAUUAAAGUGCAACCGUCGGCUCUCAGGAACACAGCACGGUUAG